UGUUGUCUUCACUCUGCCUUACAUCACCCUAGAGGAGGAUAUAAACCCUGAGACUUCUCCACAUUCAGUCCACUUUUACUCAAACCCUGAAGUCAGCAGUCUUUUCAUUGAAAGAAAGUCACCUUAACAUCAACAAUGAUGAUCCUUUUCUUACUGGUUCUGCAUUCAGGAUUUCUGCAGUUUAUUUUUACAACAAAUCGUCUACGAUCUUUUAGAGAAACUGGAAAACUGCAAUGGAAUGAUUCUCUGAAGAAUUGUACAGAUACGGGUGGAUCACUCAUCACCUUGUAUGAUGAAGAUGAUGCUGGUUUUGUAGAAAAUUAUAGAAAGGCUAAAUCGCCAACUGUCUGGCUUGGCCUGCACAAGGAUCGAAUCAAUGUUUCCACCUGGUCAAAUGGCAAAGUACCUACAAUGUCUGAGUUUACAACACCUUCAAGUUUAGAAGAAGGGCAAUUAUGUGGAGCAGCUGAGGGCGG